GGGCCGGUAGCACGUUUGCGUGGGUUCGGAAGACACCAGACGGUCGGGGGUUCAAGUCCCUCCCGGCCCG
rnacentral:tRNA from 1 species